rnacentral:rRNA from 1 species
AAGCCAGACUCCUACGGGAGGCAGCAGUGGGGAAUAUUGCACAAUGGGGGAAACCCUGAUGCAGCGACGCCGCGUGAGUGAAGAAGUAUUUCGGUAUGUAAAGCUCUAUCAGCAGGGAAGAAAAUGACGGUACCUGACUAAGAAGCCCCGGCUAACUACGUGCCAGCAGCCGCGGUAAUACGUAGGGGGCAAGCGUUAUCCGGAUUUACUGGGUGUAAAGGGAGCGUAGACGGCAUGGCAAGUCAGAUGUGAAAGCCCGGGGCUCAACCCCGGGACUGCAUUUGAAACUGUCAGGCUGGAGUGCAGGAGAGGUAAGUGGAAUUCCUAGUGUAGCGGUGAAAUGCGUAGAUAUUAGGAGGAACACCAGUGGCGAAGGCGGCCUACUGGACGGUGACUGACGCUGAGGCUCGAAAGCGUGGGGAGCAAACAGGAUUAGAUACCCGCGUA